rnacentral:lncRNA from 1 species
CCGCCAUUCCCAUCAACUCCAUCAGACCAAAAUUGGCCACAUACGGCUUACCUUGCAUGUAUCUCUCUCUCUCUCUACCGCCACAUAAGACAAAUGAAUCGUACGGCUUUCUUUAUCAAGCCCUCCCAACUUUAAAUCUUUCCACAUUUUCUUUGAUGACCUUUUCGAGUACCUCCUUAUUUCUUUUUUAUUUGGUUUUUUGCGCAGAAAAUGGUGGAGAUCCUGAUUUUGCCUUGAGAAUGUGAAAGAAACAUGGACAAACACGCAUUUUAUUUGUUUUCUUUUCCUUGUCGGCACAGUGGCAGGUCGAGUGAAUAGUGG